GAACGCUGGCGGCAGGCUUAACACAUGCAAGUCGAACGACAUAGUGGCAGACGGGUGAGUAACGCGUGGGAACGUACCCUUCACUACGGAAUAGCUUCUGGAAACGGAAGGUAAUACCGUAUACGCCCUCCGGGGGAAAGAUUUAUCGGUGAAGGAUCGGCCCGCGUUAGAUUAGAUAGUUGGUGGGGUAAGAGCCUACCAAGGCGACGAUCCGUAGCUGGUCUGAGAGGAUGAUCAGCCACAUCGGGACUGAGACACGGCCCGAACUCCUACGGGAGGCAGCAGUGGGGAAUAUUGCGCAAUGGGGGAAACCCUGACGCAGCAACGCCGCGUGAGUGAGGAAGGCCCUCGGGUCGUAAAGCUCUGUCAGAAGGGAAGAAAGUGCAUUGGUCUAAUAGGCCAUUGUAUUGACGGUACCUUCAAAGGAAGCACCGGCUAACUUCGUGCCAGCAGCCGCGGUAAUACGAAGGGUGCAAGCGUUAUUCGGAUUUACUGGGCGUAAAGCGCGCGCAGGCGGAUUGGUAAGUCAGAUGUGAAAUCUCGGGGCUCAACCCCGAAACUGCGUCUGAAACUAUCAAUCUAGAGUUAUGGAGGGGGAAGUGGAAUUUCGCAUGUAGGGGUAAAAUCCGUAGAGAUGCGAAGGAACACCAGAGGCGAAGGCGACUUCCUGGCCAUUAACUGACGCUGAGGCGCGAAAGCGUGGGGAGCAAACAGGAUUAGAUACCCU
rnacentral:rRNA from 18 species